rnacentral:lncRNA from 1 species
GGCCUCCCAAAGUGCUGGGAUUACAGGUGUGAGCCACAAUACCCAGCUAAUUUUUUUGUAUUUUUUUUAGUAGAGACAGGGUUUCACCAUGUUGGCCAGACUGGUCUCAAACUCCUGACCUCAGGGAAUGGGCCUGCCUCGGCCUCCCAAAGUUUUGGGAUUACAGGCAUGAGCAACCACGCCUAGCCCCUUCUUCUUCUUUUUAAUCUCCCUUUUCUCUUUUCUUUCUGUGUUAUCAAAUGCUAGCUCCCCGAAGUGUCACCGAAACAAUCGUUGGCAAGCACACAAAGCCCUGUAGAUGCUGACUCUAAGGAAGAAGAGGCAGAGGGAGGAGGACAAAGCCGGCAUCUUUAUUGAGAUUCAAGGGUAAAACCCUUAUUCCAGGCCUAUGUUUGUCUAGUUUCAGCUGAUGACACCAGACACAUUUACCACAGCUUGGCUUUGGCAACAGAGUCCUAGGGUCAGACCCAAACUAGCAGCUGUGCAGACAGAGAGCGGAGAUUUGGGAAGCUCACAUAUUCAGGAGGUACCCGGUAUUCACGAGGCUGAAGUCUGCAUCUACUG